UACGAAGGGGGCUAGCGUUGUUCGGAAUUACUGGGCGUAAAGCGCACGUAGGCGGAUUGUUAAGUGAGGGGUGAAAUCCCAGGGCUCAACCCUGGAACUGCCUUUCAUACUGGCAAUCUCGAGUCCGGAAGAGGUGAGUGGAAUUCCGAGUGUAGAGGUGAAAUUCGUAGAUAUUCGGAGGAACACCAGUGGCGAAGGCGGCUCACUGGUCCGGUACUGACGCUGAGGUGCGAAAGCGUGGGGAGCAAACAGG
rnacentral:rRNA from 2 species